rnacentral:rRNA from 1 species
UGAACGCUGGCGGCGUGCCUAAUACAUGCAAGUCGAGCGAACGGUCGAGAAGCUUGCUUCUCUGAUGUUAGCGGCGGACGGGUGGGUAACACGUGGAUAACCUACCUAUAAGACUGGGAUAACUUCGGGAAACCGUAGCUAAUACCGGAUAAUAUUUUGAACCGCAUGGUUCAAAAGUGAAAGACGGUCUUGCUGUCACUUAUAGAUGGAUCCGCGCUGCAUUAGCUAGUUGGUAAGGUAACGGCUUACCAAGGCAACGAUGCAUAGCCGACCUGAGAGGGUGAUCGGCCACACUGGAACUGAGACACGGUCCAGACUCCUACGGGAGGCAGCAGUAGGGAAUCUUCCGCAAUGGGCGAAAGCCUGACGGAGCAACGCCGCGUGAGUGAUGAAGGUCUUCGGAUCGUAAAACUCUGUUAUUAGGGAAGAACAUAUGUGUAAGUAACUGUGCACAUCUUGACGGUACCUAAUCAGAAAGCCACGGCUAACUACGUG